CAAAGCGCGGAGGGGAAGCCGGUGGUGGGGACACGGGACUCCACCCGCUGGCUGCCUCGCCCGCGAGUUUCCCCCAGUCGGCCGAAAGGUUCUUCCACCCGGACGGUGUGAAAGCGAAGAGGUAGCAACCGGACAGCUUUAUUGACGCACGAUGGAAAUGCCAUAAACCGCACAGGUACGUUCUGCUCUAUCUGUGAGAUACGUACGUACCUGGGACGCCACCACCGCGAUGGAGUUCGGAACCCACCCAGCGCUCAAACGCAUUUCCUCGUGCCCUUUGGCAGUUCCUUCCUCCUGAGUGUGCCCGUCCCAACCUCUUCCCUGUCCCUAGGCAAAACCACCGACUGGCUUUCUGUCACAGUAGACUCACUUGCAUUUUCUGGAAUUUUACGUAAAAAAUUGUACAGUAUGUACACUUUUCCAUCUGGCGUCUAACCCUAACCCUAACCCCAGCAGAUUUAUUUUCAGACUCAUCUUCAUUGUUGCAGGUAUCAAUAGUUCAUCCCUUUUUUCUUGCUCAGUAGUAUUCUAUCAUCUAGAUAUGCCGCUGAUCUUUCACCUGUUGGUGGACAUUUGGCUUAUUUCCAGUUAGUGAUGGUUAGCAGCAAGUGUCUUUGAAUGUUUGUGUUCAAGUUAUUGUAUGCACGUAAGCUUUCAUUUCUCUUGGUGAAAUAUUGAGCAAAAUGAUUGGGCCACAUGACGGGUAUUUGUUUAACUUUUUAAGAAACGGAUAGUUUUGGAAAGUGAUUUACCAUUUCCCCUUCCCCCCAGCCAUGGAAGAGUGUUCAGUUGUUCUGCACCCUCGCCAACACUUGUUGUGGUUCAUCUUUUUAAUUUUAGCCAUCCUCACAGGUGUACAGUGACUUGAGUUUGCACUUUCCUGAUAACUAAUGCUGUUGAGAAAAUUUUAAUGUGUUUAUUGCCAUUCAGAUGUAUGUGUGUGUGUAUAUAUGUAUGUAUCCUGCUUGCUACACCCGAGGCAUAUGGAAGUUUCCAGGCCAGGGAUUGAAUCUGAGCUGCAGCUGUGACCUGUGACCUAUACCACAGUUAUGGCAACACUGUAUUCUGAACCCACUGCACCACAGCUGGAAUUCCCAAAUAUAUUCUGUAGUGAGGUGUCUGUUUAAACUUUCCUAUCUUUUUUUUCUUUUACUUGGGGUGUUUGCUUUCCCAAUUAUUAUUUGUUGAAUUUUAAGUCUUCUUUAAAAAUUCUAGAUAGAGGUCCUUUAUCAGAUAUGUGAUUUACUUUCAGUUUGUGACUUGUUUUUCUGUUCUAUUUAAAAGAAUGAAAACUCUGCUCUUUCAGAGACUGCCUUCCAGAAGCUUUAUAUAUUUAAGUUUUAUAUUUUGGACUGUGAUUUAGUUUUGAGUUCAUCCCUAAAUAUUUUACAUUUUUCAUGUUAUUGUAAAUGUUUCUAAUUUAAUUUCUGAUUGUUUAAAGCUUUGACUUUUGUGUGUUUAUCUUUUAUCCUCAAUUUUAACUAAAUUGUUAGUUUCAGAGCUUUUGUGGUAGAUUCAGUAGUUUUUACAUAGAUGACCAUGCUGUUUGGAAGUUUAUACAUUUUUGCUUUCUCCUUUCAAAUCUGGGUGCUUCCUCCUUUUUUUUUUUUUUUUUUUUUGAUUUUUUGACUUUUUGACUGUCUAGCAACCUCCGCUACAGGGUCCACCAGUGACGGUGGUAGUGGACGUCCUUGUCUUGUUCCUGACCCUAGGAAGAACUAAGUCGGUCUUGCACCGUUAAGCAUCGUGUGUAGGAUCUUCACAGAUCUUUUUAUCAAGACGAAGUUCCUUUCAGUGUCUAAUUUUCUGUGAAUUUUUUUUAAAAUUUAAGAGUGGAUAUUGGAUUUUGUCACAUAGUUUUUCUGCAUCCUUUGAGACAAUCGUAUGGUUUUUCUUUUCCAUUCAUUAAUGCGUGAGUUAAUUCUCAAGUGUUAAACCAACUUUGCGUCCCUGGAAUAAACGCCACCUGGUCAUGA